CACCAGCAGACCCUGGAUGACCUACAGGCAGAAGAGGACAAGGUCAACACGCUGACCAAAGCUAAAAUCAAGCUUGAACAACAAGUGGAUGAUCUUGAAGGAUCCCUGGAACAAGAAAAGAAAAUCCGCAUGGACCUAGAAAGAGCCAAGAGGAAACUGGAGGGAGACCUAAAAUUGGCCCAAGAAUCCACAAUGGAUAUUGAAAAUGACAAGCAGCAACUCGAUGAGAAACUCAAAAAGAAAGAGUUUGAAAUGAGCAAUCUGCAAAGCAAGAUUGAAG